rnacentral:misc_RNA from 1 species
GAAAUGCGAUAAUUAAUGUGAAUUGCAGAAUUCAGUGAAUCAUCGAGUCUUUGAACGCACAUUGCGCCCCCUGGUAUUCCGGGGGGCAUGCCUGUCCGAGCGUCAUUGCUGCCCUCAAGCACGGCUUGUGUGUUGGGCUUCCGUCCCUGGCAACGGGGACGGGCCCAAAAGGCAGUGGCGACACCAUGUCUGGUCCUCGAGCGUAUGGGGCUUUGUCACCCGCUCCCGUAGGUCCAGCUGGCAGCUAGCCUCGCAACCAAUCUUUUUAACCAGGUUGACCUCGGAUCAGGUAGGGAUACCCGCUGAACUUAAGC